GGGGGGGGGUGAAAAUUCCCCCAAAAAAAUUCGUGCAAAGAAAAAUGCCUGAAAAAAAAUUCGUGCAGCCAUUACGUCAGAGAAAAAAAAUUCGUGCAAGCAAACAGCAAAGUACAAGUUGUCUUGAAAAAAAAUUCGUGCAGAGGUUAAAUGCAUUAAAAAAAAUUCCUGCAGAGACAUGAGACUGAAAAAAAAAUUCGUGCCGCAAAAAUUUUAUACCC
rnacentral:lncRNA from 1 species